rnacentral:lncRNA from 1 species
UUUUCUCAAGAACACACCUUAGGGUUUCAACCCAAUAUUCAAGAAACUCAAGAUUCCACCAUUGUUUUUCCAAAUUGAUUCAAGAUUCAAGAUCCCUAGACCAAGAGCUUCAAGUGUCUACCUUCAAGAACACCAUUGAGGAUUCAAAAGUUCAAGUUUUUACAUUCAAUUCAUCCUAGAAAAUCCAAGAUUCAAGCUUUCUCAUCUAGGAUAAUCAUCUAAGGUAUGUGGGGUUUCAACAAGGACAAUCCAUUCGUCCUUGUGCCCAAAACUUGUUUUAACUUAUAAAUUAGUAAAUUUUAUGUAAUUUCCCAUGAAAUUAAAUUUAGAGUUUUCACCCAAUUUAUAUUGUUUGAAGAUUAUGAGUUUACAAGUGAUUGAAUAUUGAAUUGCAUGACUAUUUUCAUGUAUUUAUGCGCGUAACACAAUUUUUCAGAUUUUCUAAAGUGAGUUUAAGUAUGAUAUUGAGAUUCUUGAUCUUAUUAUUUUGAUGGUGUUGAAGUAUUUUCAAGAAGCAUAUUGAGUUGGACGUUUUUCUAUGAUUUUGAAUAUUUAUAUAUGAGUUCUAAAUUGGGAUUUCAUACCCAUUAUCACUAUUUAUAAGAUUAUGAGUUUUUGAGAGCUGCUGAAGAUAAAUUUCAUGAGCUUGUUUAUAUUUUCAUGAGCAUUGCUGAAAUUUUCAGAUUUUAAUAUGAUUUACGAAUGUUUAUGUUAUCAAUCAUGAAUUUUGAGAUGUUUAUGUUAUCAAUCAUGAAUUUUGGAAUUUCAUACCCAUUAUCACUAUUUAUAAGAUUAUGAGUUUUUGAGACCUGCUGAAGAUAAAUUUCAUGAGUUUGUUUAUAUUUUCAUGAGGAUUGCUGAAAUUUCCAGAUUUUAAUAUGAUUUACGAAUGUUUAUGUUUUCAAUCAUGAAUUUUGAGAUGUUUUCACAUGAUUUUGAAGCAUGGGUUUUAAGUCAUAAGAUUUAUUCUUGAUAUUUCAAGAAGAUUAUGAUUUUAAGCCUCUUUGAUGAUUGUUUACCAAGUUUCAGGAAAGAAAUUGAUCUUUUGAUCCUAAGCUAAGCCAAGGAAUCCAUAUUAUUCACAUAGUUUGAGAUUUAAAGGAGAGAAGCAUAAUUUGUCUUGAUUAUAAAUUCUUAUGCUAUUUUAAGGUGGAUUUCCUAAAAGUUCUGAGCAAUAAGUAUGGGAGUAGUAUUUAGCACCGAGUUGGGUAUGAUUCCAAGGUCUCAUGCCCCAUAACUACGUGCCACUGUAGGUUUUUGAAUUUGCCCAUAGUGGGCUAAGAUAGUGAUCACUUAAGGUUCUAUUCUGAUGGCAAGGGUAGAACAGCUCUUCCCAACGUGGGCAAGACGUUGGACUCCAUGUAAGCUCACAUGGUUUAUGUCAGUUAAGAGAACCUCCCUUCUAGUAAAAAAUUAAAUAAAUAGCUUUUGGGUAUUUUUUUUCCUAAUAGUAAAGUUUGCAAGUAGUUCCUAAAGUAUUUUCCCUUAAGAUGUAUUUUCUCUACUAGUAAAGGAAAGUUUUUAAAAGUAUGUUCCCCAAAGAUUUUGGAAAUAAAGUGUAAAAGCUCACAAGCUUACCCAGAUAUUAUUUUCUUGAGAUUUAAGUUACGAAGUUACAGUUUUAGCUUUCAGAUACAAAGGUGAGCUCUUUUUUACUCAGCCUUUAUGAUUUGAGAAUAAUGCAGAAAUACAGAUUUUAUAACUAAGUGUAAUGACUCACGAGAUUUAUACUACAUGCUUUACUAUUCAUUAUUUAUGAGCUUUAGAUUUUAGAUUUUCUCAAGCUAUGCGAGUCAUUUACAUUUAGCAUGCAUUAUUUCUAUAAAGAUUGAUGAUAUUAUUUAACUAUUGCAUACACCCCCAUAUACUCAGUACAUCCUCA